rnacentral:piRNA from 1 species
UGAUAGUUCAGAUCGCCAAUAACAUUGU